CAUACUUGGGCUUCCUGUGGAUGCUACUGCUCAUGGCCUACGGGCAGAGGGACCCCAGCGCCUACCACCUCAACAGACACCUUGAGCACAGCUUCACCAGGGGCUUUUCAGGUGUGCUGGGCUUCCGAGAGUUCUUUGAGUGGGCCAACACCACCCUCGUGAGCAACCUGUAUGGUCACCCCCCAGGCUUUAUCACUGAUGGGAACUCCAAGCUGGUUGGCAGUGCCCAGAUUCGUCAAGUGAGGGUCCGGGAAAGCUCUUGCCCUCUUGCCCAGCAGCUGCAGGCGUCUCUCAACGGAUGCCGUGCACCAUAUUCCCUGGAUGCUGAAGACCUAGCAGACUAUGGGGAAGGCUGGAAUGCCACUGCCCUCAGUAAUGGCAGUAGCUUUCCCCAGGCUUGGCAGUACCAGAGCCAGGACAAACGUCGAGGGUAUCCCAUCUGGGGCAAACUCACUGUGUACCGGGGAGGAGGCUACGUGGUCCCCUUGGGGACUGAUUGCCAAAGCGCGUCAAGAAUUCUCCGUUAUCUCUUUGACAACACCUGGCUGGACGCCCUGACCAGAGCUGUGUUUGUGGAGUUCACUGUCUACAACGCCAACGUCAACCUGUUCUGCAUUGUCACGCUGACGCUAGAGACCAGCGCCCUGGGCACCUUCUUUACGCACACGGCCCUGCAGAGCCUCCGCCUGUACCCCUUCACCGACGGCUGGCACCCCUUCGUGUUGGCGGCAGAGCUCAUCUACUUCCUCUUCCUCCGCUACUACAUGGUGGUGCAGGGCAAGCACAUGAGGAAGCAGACGUGGGGCUAUUUCCGCAGCAAGUGGAACCUUCUGGAGCUGGCCAUCAUCCUGGCCAGCUGGAGCGCCCUGGCGGUGUUUGUGAAGAGGGCUGUCCUGGCCGAAAGGGACCUCCAGCGCUGCCGGAACCACAGCGAGGAAGGCAUCAGCUUCAGUGAGACAGCAGCAGCCGAUGCCACCCUUGGCUACAUCAUUGCCUUUCUGGUACUCCUGUCCACAGUGAAGCUUUGGCAUCUGCUCAGGUUGAAUCCCAAAAUGAACAUGAUCACGGCAGCCCUAUGCCGUGCCUGGGGCGACAUUUCAGGCUUUGUCAUUGUCAUCCUUACCAUGCUCCUGGCUUACUCCAUCGCGUCGAACUUAAUAUUUGGUUGGAAACUCCGUUCCUACAAAACCCUCUUUGAUGCGGCGGAGACGAUGAUCAGCCUUCAGCUGGGAAUCUUCAACUACGAGGAGGUCCUGGACUAUAGCCCAGUGCUUGGCUCCUUCCUCAUUGGGUCCUGCAUCGUUUUUAUGACAUUUGUGGUGCUGAACCUGUUUAUCUCUGUCAUCCUGGUGGCCUUCAGUGAGGAGCAAAAAUACUAUCAGCUGUCGGAGGAAGGGGAGAUCGUAGAUUUGCUGCUGAUGAAAAUACUCAGUUUCCUGGGCAUUAAGUGUAAGAAGAGAGGAGCCUGAAAGCAGCGGGGAGCAGCCUGGGUCCCUGUCCCAGACUCACUGCUCUUAACCAGCGCAAGCUUUGCCCAAGGUCUAAGCUGUUCAUCCACACGCCACCAUCUACGAGUGGGGACGCCCGGGGUCUCGGGCCUCCACUUAUCAGCGACUCUGUAGUCUCUCUAGGCAUAGCUUUUGUGUCCAUUGAAGAAUUACCAAGCCCAGCAAGUAAAAAAAUUAGAAUAACAGAGACAUAUAUAAAAUUGCCAAUACUAUGAGAGCUUCUUUGUUCAAAUGUAUUUCCUCUUAUUAUAAAUAAAACAAAUAUUACAUGGAGUUUGG
rnacentral:sRNA from 1 species